ACCUACGGGGGGCAGCAGUAGGGAAUUUUCGUCAAUGGGCGCAAGCCUGAACGAGCAAUGCCGCGUGAACGAGGAAGGUCUUCGGAUCGUAAGGUUCUGUUGAAGGGGAAAAGAGCGGAGAGAGGAAAUGGUCUCCGAUUGAUAUUACCCUUCGAGGAAGUCACGGCUAACUACGUGCCAGCAGCCGCGGUAAUACGUAGGUGGCGAGCGUUAUCCGGAAUGAUUGGGCGUAAAGGGUGCGUAGGCGGCCUGCUAAGUCUGGAGUGAAAGGUACCGGCUCAACCGGUACAGGCUCUGGAAACUGG
rnacentral:rRNA from 1 species